rnacentral:ncRNA from 1 species
CAAAUUGCCUCCGUACCUUCGGAAGAAGGAGGCCCUCACAUUGCGCAAGCAGUAUGAGGGGGCACAGGCCAGGGGGUAGCGACUGUUUAGCAAAAACACAGGGCUCUGCUAAGUCGGCUUCAAGACGACGUAUAGGGCCUGACGCCUGCCCGGUGCCUGAAGGUUAAGUGGAGGGGUGCAAGCUCCGAAAUGAAGCCCAGGUAAACGGCGGCCGUAACUAUAACGGUCCUAAGG